GAUACAUGGGAGAUAAACCAUUUAGUGUUUUGUAAGUAAGUAGCUGUAGUUUGUAGUUGAUUCGAAAGUUAACAGGUAGCCAGUGAUCAUAUAACCCCAAAGAUUGGGGUUAUAUCAUAUUUCCUCGACCUUGUGAGAACUCUGGCUGCUGCAUUCUGGACAAACUGUAGCUUGUUUAUUAAUGAUGCAGGACAUCCACCUAGUAAUGCAUUACAGUAGUCCAGUCUGGAGAUCAUGAACACAUGGACGAGCUUCUCUGUGUGGUAGUGGGGACAGUCACAUGGUUGGGCGGAGCAAUUGGAAUGAUAGCCAGGUUUCGCAAAUUAGUGGGUCUAUAAAAGGAGCAGUCGGCGGCUGGUGGGAGUGCGUUUUCCUGAACACUGGUGACAUCACCGGAUAUCCGGAGCAGCUGGGAGAGGUUCUUGUUGUUAGGAGUACAUGCCUGCUUGGUAGCCUGAUUGUGUGAAUUGGGUUUCAAGGGAGGUUUGGUUUCUUUAUUUAGUGUGGCUUGAGGAAUCAGCCAUUAUCUGGUUAAAAUCAUUGCACUUCCCCGUUUAGAGUUUCUCGGCGCAUUGUGACCUGGUUGAACCGGUGGCCUGAGAAACGUCUGCUAUAUAUAGACCUGGACCUGGAUGCUACCCGACAGCCAGCGGAAUGCUAAGAGGUCAUGUGCUUAUUUUAUGAGGGGUAUUGAAUGGUGUCUGGGAAACCAGUUCUAGUGUGAGGGAAAAGUUCCUCUCUGCUUGGUGGUGGAUUCCUUCGGUGUGCAGUGGUCGACAGGUGGGGUUGUGGUGUCGUAUGAGUGCACGUGUGUUUGCUGUGGAUAGGAGAUCAUUAGAGUAAGAUCCUCAGCCCUGGAGUCCAAGCAUUCUUGUGUGGUAUAUGAUGUAUGAUUUUAUGUCAUUUUAAUAGUUCUUAAUAAACUGUGUGUAUUAUA